rnacentral:rRNA from 1 species
AACGUAGGGGGCGAACGUUGCUCGGAAUCACUGGGUUUAAAGGGUUCGCAGGCGGACAUAUAAGUCGAUGGUUAAAACUUUGAGCUUAACUUAAAGUCGCCAUCGAUACUGUGUGCCUUGAGGAGGAGAGAGGAAAUCGGAAUUCCCGGUGUAACGGUGGAAUGUGUAGAUAUCGGGAGGAACACCAAUAGCGAAGGCAAAUUUCUAGCUCUUACCUGACGCUCAUGAACGAAAGCGUGGGUAGCAAACAGGAUUAGAUACCCUGGUAGUCCACGCCCUAAACGCUGGGUGCUAGAUGUCGGGAAUUAUAUUCUCGGUGUCGAAGAGAAAUCGUUAAGCACCCCACCUGGGGAGUACGGUCGCAAGGCUGAA